GGUAAAAUGGCUGAGUAGUAGGCAUUAGACUGUAAAUCUAAAGACAGAGGUGUAAGGCCUCUUUUUACC
rnacentral:tRNA from 2 species